AUUGAACGCUGGCGGCAUGCUUUACACAUGCAAGUCGGACGAGUGGCGGACGGGUGAGUAACGCAUCGGAACGUGCCCAGUAACGGGGGAUAACUGCCCGAAAGGAUGGCUAAUACCGCAUAUUAUUCGAGCGGCCGAUGUCUGAUUAGCUAGUUGGUGGGGUAAAGGCUCACCAAGGCAACGAUCCGUAGCUGGUCUGAGAGGACGAUCAGCCACACUGGGACUGAGACACGGCCCAGACUCCUACGUGAGGCAGCAGUGGGGAAUUUUGGACAAUGGGCGAAACCCUGAUCCAGCCAUCCCGCGUGUCUGAAGAAGGCCUUCGGGUUGUAAAGUACUUUUGGUAGGGAGGCGGUACCGGAAGAAUAAGCACCGGCUAACUACGUGCCAGCCGCCGCGGUAAUAC
rnacentral:rRNA from 1 species